rnacentral:tRNA from 1 species
GGAAGAAUAGUAUAAAUUAUUACAGUUAAUUUAAAUUAAAAGAUUUGGAUGGAAGCUCCAAUUCUUCCC